UACGGGGGGAGCAAGCGUUGUUCGGAUUUACUGGGCGUAAAGGGCGCGUAGGCGGCCAGCACAAGUCAGUUGUGAAAUCUCCGAGCUUAACUCGGAAAGGUCAACUGAUACUGUGCGGCUAGAGUGCGGAAGGGGCAACUGGAAUUCUUGGUGUAGCGGUGAAAUGCGUAGAUAUCAGGAGGAACACCGGUGGCGAAGGCGGUUCUCUGGGCAUUACCUGACGCUGAGGAGCGAAAGUGUGGGGAGCGAACAGG
rnacentral:rRNA from 1 species